UCGAGGAUCUUCGGCAAUGGGCGCAAGCCUGACCGAGCGACGCCGCGUGUGCGAUGAAGGCCUUCGGGUUGUAAAGCACUUUCGGGGUGGAGGAAAGCCCGCAAGGGUUUGACCUAUACCCAGAAGAAGCACGGGCUAAGUUCGUGCCAGCAGCCGCGGUAAGACGAACCGUGCGAACGUUGUUCGGAUUCACUGGGCUUAAAGGGCGCGUAGGCGGAUACCCAAGUCCGGGGUGAAAUCUUUCGGCUCAACCGGAAAACUGCCUUGGAUACUGGGUGUCUGGAGGGAGGUAGGGGCAUGCGGAACUUCCGGUGGAGCGGUGAAAUGCGUAGAUAUCGGAAGGAACGCCGGUGGCGAAAGCGGCGUGCUGGACCUCUUCUGACGCUGAGGCGCGAAAGCCAGGGGAGCAAACGGGAUUAGAUACCCCCGUAGUCC
rnacentral:rRNA from 1 species